rnacentral:rRNA from 1 species
GACAGAGGGUGCAAGCGUUGUUCGGAAUUACUGGGCGUAAAGCGAGUGUAGGCGGUCCGCUAAGUCGGGUGUGAAAGCCCUGGGCUCAACCCAGGAAGUGCACUCGAAACUGGCGGGCUAGAGUAUCGGAGAGGUUGGUGGAAUUCUCGGUGUAGAGGUGAAAUUCGUAGAUAUCGAGAGGAACACCGGUGGCGAAGGCGGCCAACUGGACGAAUACUGACGCUGAGACUCGAAGGCGUGGGGAGCAAACAGG